UAAUUGUUAUUAAGUGUCCCUACCCCAAGGCUAAAUGCACCCGAUCAGGAUUGCGUGCUGAAAAUCGGCACCAUAGGUCAUGUAUAUUGUAUUCUAUUAGAAUGUGAAAUUCUCAUGCACACGGUGCAGAUUUUUUCUGCCUGGAUUUUGACCUACUGUGC